GAGUUGCUGCUCACCCUCAGCAUCAAUCCUGUUGGUCAAAGGCAAGAGGAACACAGUGAUGAUCAAAAGAAAACUGUUUCCCGGUGCUUUCCUGAAGUCAUGACCAUUUUCACUUCAUUUCAAAGUGCUGCCUUUGGCCCCUUAUCUGGUGUUCACUGCGUAAUGGUUUGUUCUCCAGGAACAGCUGCAUUGCAUGUAUGUACAAACAGGAAGAUGGGAUAAUUAACAAAAUUAGAGUACAUAAGAAUAAUGGAAACUGUUGAAUAACUUUCAAGGGCUUUUAUAGUUUGGGUUCUAUAUACUAAAACUCCUGGGAGGCUGUGAAAUUAUAAGCUUGAACAGGUUAUAAUAUAUGUGUACUGUUUUAGGUCCCCAAACUGUGUGUGGAGGAAAAUAUCAACGGCAUCCCGAGUAACGACAGCAGCACCCAGCCGGUGGCCACACAAGCUGCACGCAAGAUGCUCUCAGCCCGCCCCUAGAUGCCACCCCGGAUGCCGGCCUGGUGCACCCCCUUGUACGCCUCCUGGAGAGGGCAGACAACCUCGGGCGCUGUCGUGUCGCUCGUCAAGCUGCUCCGCUCGCCGCACACCAACGUGGCAUGCAGAGCAAGCCGUGUGGGCGCCGGGAAACACUGCUGGCGAUGGCCCCAAACUCAGAGACUUAGUCAUUAAGGCUGGCAUUGUACAACCUCUUCUGGAACUCAUUAAACUAGAUAGAGAGACUGCCGAUGACUGAGGAGUGCGGCGGACUGGACAAGACUGAGGACUGCAGCACCACGACAACGAGGCCGUGUACGAGAAGGCCCUGGAUGGAUAUCAUCAAGAAGUGUUCCGGCGAGGAGGGGUCCCCCGAGGUGAGCAGCACCACCAGUGGCCAGGCGUACGACUUCUCUGCCGUGAACAACGUGCCUGAGGGUGAUUCUUUUUCUAGGACUUCAGUGUGUGUGUCUGGCAAGGGAGGAGCAGCAGCAGGCAGGGUGUGUGUGUUCCACGGCGGAAAAAUGUGAUAAUGUAUCUAACCGUCGAUCUCACUUGUCUAAGUGGCCUCUGCAGCAUGUUUUACUGGGCCUUCAGUGGACCCGCUGGUGCCUCAAUGUUUUACUGGGCCUUCAGUGGACCCGCUGGUGCCUCAAUGUUUUACUGGGCCUUCAGUGGACCCGCUGGUGCCUCAAUGUUUUACUGGGCCUUCAGUGGACUCCCUGGUGCCUCAAUGUUUUACUGGGCCUUCAGUGGACCCGCUGGUGCCUCAAUGUUUUACUGGGCCUUCAGUGGACCCGUUGGUGCCUCAGUGUUUUACUGGGCCUUCAGUGGACCCGCUGGUGCCUCAAUGU